UUGGUAUUCCGAAAGGCAUGCCUGUUUGAGUGUCUUAUAAACCUCUAUCUAUUGUUUAUUCAAUAGAUAGCUUUGGGUGCUGCCAGCGAUGGCUCGCCUUAAAUGUCUAAGUGGAAUGCAUAAUAAGUUCUUGCAACCCUCCACUCUAACACACUUUAUAUUCUGACCUCAAAUCAGGUAGGACUACCCGCUGAACUUAA
rnacentral:misc_RNA from 1 species